UCCCUGAAAGCCCAGUUGGUAGAGAAUCCGCCUGUAAUGCGGGAGACCCUGGUUCAAUCCCUGGAUUGGGAA
rnacentral:tRNA from 1 species